UACGGGGGGGGCAAGCGUUGUUCGGAAUUACUGGGCGUAAAGGGCUCGUAGGCGGCCAACUAAGUCAGACGUGAAAUCCCUCGGCUUAACCGGGGAACUGCGUCUGAUACUGGAUGGCUUGAGAUUGGGAGAGGGAUGCGGAAUUCCGGGUGUAGCGGUGAAAUGCGCAGAUAUCAGGAGGAACACCGGUGGCGAAGGCGGGUCUCUGGGCCGUAACUGACGCUGAGGAGCGAAAGCGUGGGGAGCGAACAGG
rnacentral:rRNA from 1 species